CAUUAAGUAAGACAGAGCACAUUGAUUACAAAUCUUUUUGUUUUUACGGGACUGUCUUACAUAUCUGAUUUGUAACACUAAGGAUCCCUUGCAUGUCUGUCUAUAUUAAAUUCAUUAUGUUCGUGAUGUGCCAGAAUUAUUAAUGCAUAAAUAACUUUGUUGACUGUCAACAGGUACAAGCCAUCUCAUCAGUAGUUUCCACUGUCAUUCUCUCAGGCAGAGCUCCACAAAUGAAAGUGAAGGUAAAUGCUAACACACUUUCAUACAUAGCAUGAGCAAAACACAGUUUCAUUCAGUGAGUUAAACAUAGUGUGAAACAGCAAAUACAAUGCUAUGUUUGAUGUGGAGGAGUACUCUAAUAGUAAUACAUGUAAUGAAAUUGGGAAAUACAGUAUAAUGUACAUUUAAUGGUUUGCUUCACUGGAAACUAUAAUUGCAUUUCUAAUUUCUUUUUAAAAUAAAUACAGAGUGAAUUACUUCAAAAUGAUAUAUUAUUGCUUCCUUGCCACACACCAGGUCAUUGGGUUCUUGUGAUAGCCUUGAUGAAAAAAUGGAAUUGUUAAUAAUUGACCCCUUGUGUGAUGAGAUGAGAUAUGAAAGAACAUGCCUGAGGAAUUGGAGAAACUUCAUCAAACGAUUAACUAGAAAAUCCUCAUCUGUUUGGAAUAGUAAAAUUGUUCAGCAUCCCAGACAAAGUGAUGGCCACAACUGCAGACCACUCAUCUUAAAGGUAU